UUAUUUUCGUGCGCUUGCACAGCAGAGCGGAGCCAGCGUCACCGAACGCCCUCCUUUGUUUACUGUUUACAGUGAAAGUUUAGCACAUUUUGAGUGUUUCGUCGUUCUUCAACCCGCCGGUGUGCAACUUGUUCCUUUUUAUGAACAAAUGCUUCUCUCGGUGAAAGUUAUUCGUAUUUAUUAUUAUUUUGUUUCAUUUCGACGAAUCGUAGAAAAUCUGUCACUUCGUUUAUUCGCCAGUCAGCGUUCGAGAUUACGUGUACGAGUUCACUUACACUCUUCCAGUGACAUAACCAAAUCUUACUUCACACUCCACGACUAUGAUUCGAACGUACGUUUCCUCGGCGAGCGUCACGUGCUAAUUUGAAGUCCAUUAUCCGACCGAAAGCUCCUUAACGGUAAAAAUUGAUGAGAUUUUAAUGAGGUCCACCCCCCUUCACACGAAACUUCAAAGCGCAUCGUUUCUUAAUCGAGCUAUUAGCACGGUUUACCAAA